rnacentral:rRNA from 1 species
UACAGAGGGUGCGAGCGUUGUUCGGAAUCACUGGGCGUAAAGCGCGCGCAGGCGGGCGUGUAAGUCAGAAGUGAAGUUCCGGGGCUCAACCCCGGAGCUGCUCCUGAUACUGCACGUCUGGAGACCGGUAGAGGCUGGUGGAAUUCCCGGUGUAGCGGUGGAAUGCGUAGAGAUGUGGAGGAACACCGAUGGCGAAGGCAGCCUCCUGGGCCAGCACUGACGCUCAUGCACGAAAGCGUGGGGAGCAAACAGG